GAUCAAUGUUUACAGGCAACAAUAAGAACAAAAAUAGAUUAGAUUACAUCAAAAUUUAAAACUGGGGCUGGGGUAUAGCUCAGUGGUAAAGCACUUGCUCAGCAUAAUUUUACAACUCUUUAAAAAUGGUACUUUGUAUUCAUGUAUAUGAUUUCAAGAGAAAAAAAGUUCUUUGGAAUAAAAAAAUAAAAACAAAUAAAAAACCUAGUUUCAGUCCUGAUACCAUCUAUCUGUGUUAAAUUUGGAAGUCAUUCCAUUUCACUGAAUUUCAAUAUCCUCCACUGUAAAAGUUGAGAAAAUAAUAUAUAAUUGAAAAGGUAUUUGACAACUACAUGACAUUACUUUUAUAUAAGCACAACUCAUAGUACUAGUAAAUAAAUUUAAUAAAUCUUGAUUUUAUAUUCUCCUUCCAUUUCUACGAGAAUGAAGUUUCAUAGAGGGGAAAAAUUGUGUAUUAUACAUUUUUCAGGUGGCCUAAUAACUUAGGGCAGUAUCAGAGAAGACAGCCAAGAAGGCAAAAAGAUUGACUGUUUGCUUAAGAAUGUGCACAGAACACAUGUGGUAGAAAUAAAUGUCUUAGAGUAAAUGACCAAUUGUGGUGAGCAAAAGUCAUUGCAAUUUGAGGCCUGUAGAAAAGGUCUAAGUCAUAGGUUACUUAGUCUGGAAAAGAAAAGCUUGGGAUGACUUUAGUAACUAAGUUCUAGCACACAUUUAUUAAACAGAGAAGGGUAGGUUUGCAUUCUUUUUCUAUUUUUAUAACUGUUUAUGGUAUAUAUGAAAAAACUCUGCCCAUUAUUUUGGAUACCAUAAUUCCAGUAUUUAUUUAAGAGAAGAUGCAUACAAAAAUAUAGCCACAAUAGGCUAAAAAUAUGGCAUUGUCUCUGUCCAAUCUUCAAUUAUGAGGUCAUAGUUGUAGGAGAUGGGGUUGAGCUGAAGUUAUCUGUGAAAUCAAGAGAAUGAGAGAAAUGUAUUUCUUUCCAAUAGAAAUUUCCUUAGGAGAAUAAAAAGUAAUUCCCUAUAUACUGAAACAUGCAGGCUUAAUGCAAUGAGAGAAAGAACCUACAGUGUCUCUUAAUUUUCACCAAGUUGAACAAUNGGGGGCUCUCCAUAUCAAAAUGGUAUUGAAAAGCCCAUCUUUUGAGAAGGAGAAAUAUUUCGAUUAAAGGUUGACAAAAUGCAAUGAACAGGACAAAUUCAGUCUGAUCCUGAUUUUGUAAAUAAAGCUUUAUUGGAAAAUAGUUACACAUGUUUGUUUCUGUAUUGUCUGAGCUACUUUCAGUCCAAAACAGAAAAUUGAGCAAUUGUUACUAACUGCAUGGCUUGCAGUGCCACUUACUUAUUAUCAGAAAAUAAUCAGUGCCAGCCCUGACCUAGACAAUGCCAGUAAAUCAACAUUUUCUGUGGAAUAACAGGAUUAGUCAAUCAUCCAAAUAAUUCUAGGGACAAGAUGGCUUCUAAAGAAGGGCUUCAUUGUUCACUUUGCUAUUAUAUUAUCCCAUUUUGCUUCAAAGUUAGAUAUUUUUUCUUACCUUCUUUCCAAUGUGUUUUGCUCAUUUACAAGAUAGAAAUGAGACUGUUACCACCUAAGAUUUUUGUAAGGCUCAAUAACAGAAGGUAUGAUAGCUUUUAUCACAUCAUGAUAUAGAAAUUUUAAAUUUAGAGCAGGGCCCAAGGUGGUACAAUGUCUCUUCUGAGUUUUCCCACUAUAAAUCUACCUUAUCUCAGUGCCCCCAUUCAAAGGUCUGCUUCCAUACAUAUGCUAUCAACUUUCUAUCGCAGAGACAAAAUAUCUGAGAUAAUCAACUUAUAAGGAUAAAAAGAUUAUUUUUUUCAAAGUUUUGGAAAUUUCAGCCAGUGGCUAAUUGGCUCCUUGCUUUCAGGCAUUUAGCAAGGCAGUAUAUCACGAUGGGGAGCCUGUGAGAGAGCAAAGCUGCUCACCUCCUGCCAACCAGGAGAGAGAUAGGAAGAGCCAGGGUCCCCACAUCCCCUGCAAGCCCAAUUGGACACAGCCCAAUGACUUAACUUCCUUCCACAAGCACCCACUCCCUAAAUGCUCUACCCGCUCCCAACAGAACCACUGGCUGAGGACCAAGGAUUCAACACAUGGGUCUUUGAGGGACAUUCAAGACCCAAACUACAGCAAAUAUUGGAACAUCUGGCUUCGAUGAAAUCUGAAUUCCUUCUUCAAUCUCCACCCCAUUUCCCACUUAGCUCUCCAGUUCCUUUCUGAUUUGGGGCUAUCGUUCAACCCUUCUUUUGCCAUUUCUCCUACCUCCAUCCCAUCCCACCAUUAAAUAAAUAAACACACAUCCAUGAAACAAAAAAAUUAUUAAAUUUCUCCUAACCCUAAUGCCAUAUUCAGACUUCUACUUUUACCCUCCCCUACAAAGUCUCUCCUCCUUUAAUUCUAUUAUCAUUCUGCUAUACUAUUUUCUACUUUUCUUUCUCACCAUAAUCUACCCAUUACAGAGCCAUAUCCUUAAAUUUGAUAAAGGCUCACAUUCUCAAUACCCUAUUUUGUAAACAUCAAUCUGAUAGAUUUUAUCAUCCCUGCAAAUAAUAUAUUCUCAAUGUUUCUUAAACUUCCAACUCAAAUGAUUUUUCUUCUGCCAUUUAAGUUCAGCCAUAAGUUUUGUAGUAACUUAAUUAUCACUUAUUUUUUUCAAAAUAUUUUACUUUCAUAUCCUACACUCAGGUCACAUCCUUAUACCCUGUCAGAGUCUCAAGCCUUCAUUUUCAUUUCACCUGUUCACAAUUUACUAAGACCCGAAGUACAUACAGGUGCUCUGUUUUCCCCCCAGUUUCUCAUUUUUCAUAAUCUUCAGGUUUCAUAUCUUUUUCUAUUUACCCAUAAUGCCCCGGCACAGACAUACCACUGUAGUAUAGUACCUUGACUACCAAAUACCAUUUUGCCACAUUGAUGACAAUUCUUCACUCUGGAAUCAGUCUAAAUACCUACCUGCUAGCUAUGGGCCCCAAGGACAAUUGUGGUAAGAAUAGACCCAGGGAAGAAAGGCAGUGGAUUCUAUGAACAGUUGAAUAGUGGGAGUAUUAUUUUUUUCUCUAUAAAACUCAUCCUCCUGUAUCCUGAGUUUGUCAAUGGUAGCAACAUUCUGUUAAUCCCAAGAUGUUAAAUUUUGGAUUCAGCGAGUCUUUCUACACUCUCAUCUAUCAUGUUAAGAAAUUGAAAAUUAUUGUCAUUAUUUGUGCUAAUUUUACAACUCUUUUUUUUAGGUUAAAAGUAAUCUUUUAAUAUAAUUAGACCAAAUUAUGAUGACUUUAAAGAUCAAUGUUUACAGGCAACAAUAAGAACAAAAAUAGAUUAGAUUACAUCAAAAUUUAAAACUGGGGCUGGGGUAUAGCUCAGUGGUAAAGCACUUGCUCAGCAUAAUUUUACAACUCUUUAAAAAUGGUACUUUGUAUUCAUGUAUAUGAUUUCAAGAGAAAAAAAGUUCUUUGGAAUAAAAAAAUAAAAACAAAUAAAAAACCUAGUUUCAGUCCUGAUACCAUCUAUCUGUGUUAAAUUUGGAAGUCAUUCCAUUUCACUGAAUUUCAAUAUCCUCCACUGUAAAAGUUGAGAAAAUAAUAUAUAAUUGAAAAGGUAUUUGACAACUACAUGACAUUACUUUUAUAUAAGCACAACUCAUAGUACUAGUAAAUAAAUUUAAUAAAUCUUGAUUUUAUAUUCUCCUUCCAUUUCUACGAGAAUGAAGUUUCAUAGAGGGGAAAAAUUGUGUAUUAUACAUUUUUCAGGUGGCCUAAUAACUUAGGGCAGUAUCAGAGAAGACAGCCAAGAAGGCAAAAAGAUUGACUGUUUGCUUAAGAAUGUGCACAGAACACAUGUGGUAGAAAUAAAUGUCUUAGAGUAAAUGACCAAUUGUGGUGAGCAAAAGUCAUUGCAAUUUGAGGCCUGUAGAAAAGGUCUAAGUCAUAGGUUACUUAGUCUGGAAAAGAAAAGCUUGGGAUGACUUUAGUAACUAAGUUCUAGCACACAUUUAUUAAACAGAGAAGGGUAGGUUUGCAUUCUUUUUCUAUUUUUAUAACUGUUUAUGGUAUAUAUGAAAAAACUCUGCCCAUUAUUUUGGAUACCAUAAUUCCAGUAUUUAUUUAAGAGAAGAUGCAUACAAAAAUAUAGCCACAAUAGGCUAAAAAUAUGGCAUUGUCUCUGUCCAAUCUUCAAUUAUGAGGUCAUAGUUGUAGGAGAUGGGGUUGAGCUGAAGUUAUCUGUGAAAUCAAGAGAAUGAGAGAAAUGUAUUUCUUUCCAAUAGAAAUUUCCUUAGGAGAAUAAAAAGUAAUUCCCUAUAUACUGAAACAUGCAGGCUUAAUGCAAUGAGAGAAAGAACCUACAGUGUCUCUUAAUUUUCACCAAGUUGAACAAUGGUAUAUGCAUAUCCCACAUUAAAUAUUUUUUAAUAAGUGUAAACAAAUAUAGUUAUAGUAAAAACGUUGUAAUAUUUUCUUUUCUCGGGAUCUUUGCUAAGAGGAGUGUCUUUGAAGGAUCCAGAUUUGCUAAGAGUUAAAUUACUUACUCUAACCCUCAACCCUAGAAGCCUGUGAUUCUGUAUGUUAGUGGGGCUGAGCUGCAGACAGGUCUUACAAUGCACAAAUAAGUAACUUGGUUCCUUUUGUUUCCACAUCUCUAUUCAACUGACAUCAGCAAUUAACAUCCUUAUUCCCCAGGAGUCUACAGGAUUCCAGAGCUGUGAGAGUUCACAUCACGUCCAUUGUCCUAACUACAUCUUUAACCCCAAAUCAGUGUAUUUUCUCUUGAGCCCAUUGGGACUUGAUAUGUCACUUCACACAGUGUAAUUUCACAUAAACCAUAAAUGACCUUUAACGCGUCAGUGACUGCAUCAAAUGUUAUGAUAAGUUUUUUAAUGACUGAAUAACUUUGGGACCAUUGUAGGAAUAUAAAAUAUCAAACGGAAACCAGGGAUGAAAUGAGGGUUUAGUAAAAAGGGUUAAAAAGGAUUUUUCUUCUAGCAUCUGUGAAAUCUAUCUGAAAAAAACAAAAGUAUAUUCCUGUGCUUUUCCAACCCCUGUUUUAUGUCUUCUUUUUAGUGUUUAACAUUAUAUAAUCCACAAAAAGCCAAAUGUCUUGAGGCCUACAUCUGCCUAUCAUCAACCACAAUCCAAACCCCACAAAUUCAAUUCCAGAAGCAUGAAGAAUAAUAUAGACAUUGAUUGUAAGUUUUCCUGGAGGGAAAAGCAGGCUUUACACAAAACAUCGAGGCAUACUGAGCAACACACUGCUUGCUUUACCAAUCCAACUCCCAGAUUCCCCACAGACAGCUGAGAAAGCAUUCUGUCCCUCAUAAGCACGGCUUCUCCACGCAGCUCCCUCUCUGCCCGGCCUCUCUUCUCUUUCCACCACAUGCCCUAUACGCAGUCUCUCUGCCAACCAUACCUCUGCAAAGUGCAGCCAAAGAUCAAACUCUCAUCUUUCCCAGCAAGCCCAGCCUCUGAAGAUUCAAGAAAUAAACAUUUAACUACAAAUCAACUUAAUUAAAAAAAAAAUUGUAAAGCUUAUAUAAUCUGUGUUCAAGGCACAUGACUGACACG
rnacentral:lncRNA from 1 species